CAACACAACUAAAUUACCAUCCACAUGAAAUAAUAGUCAAAUAGUUCCAUCAUGCACAUCAGUCAGUCAGACAUUUUCAGAAAAAAAAAAAAUAUUAAAGCCAAGAAUACACACUGAAAUUAAAAAUCAACCUAUUCUAGGAAUUUAAAUUAAAAUUAAAAGUAAAAGAAAGAAAAACUAAAAUCAUGUCUAUGAACAUCCCUCAGUUGAUGUCUGCAAUCAACCCAUGUUAUCAUUAGAGUCCUCUUGACUCUC
rnacentral:lncRNA from 1 species